CAGUUUGUAGUUUAAAUAGAAUUUAAGCUUUGGGAGUUUAAGGUCUUGAGUUAUCAAGUGAGCUGA
rnacentral:tRNA from 1 species